GGAGAUGUUGAUAUGGAUUUUGUCUUAGGGAUAGGAGGUUAUGAUCUUGAGAGAAUUGAUUCAGAAGUCAAUGUAGAUGGCUUGAGUUGUGCAGAGGAUCAUCAUCAUCAUCACCAUCAAUGCAGUCAUGGUAUAUAGACCAGUCUUCAAAUAGAAACUGGUUUGUUAACCUAGCUAAUUUAGAAGUUGAAUCAUUCCACGAGCAUCUUCGAAUUUCACUUUUGUCAUUAUAAAUGAGUGAUAAACUUAUACUAAUACAAGAAAGCACAACGAACAUCAACAUGAUCAUGUUCAUGACUCUGCUGUCACAAGUGUUAGCAUAGUUUCCGAAGGAAUUCUUGAUCUUGAUGAGGUUGACGAUUGGUUAGAAAGAUUGAUCGAAGAAAAAGGCGAUGAUUUAUACAGAAUGAAAGGUGUUCUCUCCAUCGAGAGCUCUGAUCAACGUUAUAUUUUCCAGGGAGUCCAUUCGACGUUAGACGGAUGCCCAGGCAAAUCAUGGGAACCCGAAGAGAAGCGGAUAAACAAACUUGUGUUUAUUGGAAGAAACUUAGAUGAGACCAUUCUCAGGAAAGGCUUUAAAGGUUGUCUAA